GAUGAACGCUGGCGGCGUGCCUAAUACAUGCAAGUCGAGCGAACAGAUAAGGAGCUUGCUCCUUUGACGUUAGCGGCGGACGGGUGAGUAACACGUGGAUAACCUACCUAUAAGACUGGGAUAACUUCGGGAAACCGGAGCUAAUACCGGAUAACAUAUUGAACCGCAUGGUUCAAUAGUGAAAGGCGGCUUUGCUGUCACUUAUAGAUGGAUCCGCGCCGUAUUAGCUAGUUGGUAAGGUAACGGCUUACCAAGGCAACGAUACAUAGCCGACCUGAGAGGGUGAUCGGCCACACUGGAACUGAGACACGGUCCAGACUCCUACGGGAGGCAGCAGUAGGGAAUCUUCCGCAAUGGGCGAAAGCCUGACGGAGCAACGCCGCGUGAGUGAUGAAGGUCUUCGGAUCGUAAAACUCUGUUAUCAGGGAAGAACAAAUGUGUAAGUAACUGUGCACAUCUUGACGGUACCUGAUCAGAAAGCCACGGCUAACUACGUG
rnacentral:rRNA from 1 species